rnacentral:miRNA from 1 species
UGAUAUGUUUGAUAUAGGGGUUG